rnacentral:rRNA from 1 species
GACGAACGCUGGCGGCGUGCCUAAUACAUGCAAGUAGGACGCAGUUGCGAACGGGUGAGUAACGCGUAGGUAACUGCCUAUUAGAGGGGGAUAACUAUUGGAAACGAUAGCUAAUACCGCAUACUAGUAGAUGGACCUGCGUUGUAUUAGCUAGUAGGUAGGGUAAUGGCCUACCUAGGGGACGAUACAUAGCCGACCUGAGAAGGUGAACGGACACACGGGGCAUGAGACACGGCCCAGACUCCUACGGGGGGCAGCAGUAGGGAAUCUUCGGCAAUGGGGGGAACCCUGACCGAGAAACGCCGCGUGAGUGAAGAAGGUUUUUGGAUCGUAAAGGUCUGUUGGUAAGGAAGCGGUACUUAACCAGAAAGGGACGGCUAACUACGUGCCAGCAGCCGCGGUAAUAC